ensembl:rRNA 5S_rRNA 5S ribosomal RNA
GCCAGCAGCUCUAUCACCUGCAACUCACAGCUGGCAGCCCACUGAAGCUCAGCAGGUGUGAGCCUGGUCAGUACCUGGAUGGGAGACUCCUGGGAAAGCUAAGGUUGCUGCUGGAA